rnacentral:lncRNA from 8 species
UGGAGUGGGGCUACCAUCUACUGGGUGUGCAGUAUUGGAGUAGGGCCACCAGCUACUGGGUGUGCAGUAUGUAAUGGAGUGGGGCCGCCAGCUACUGGGUGUGCAGUAUGUAAUGGAGUAGGGCCACCAGCUACUGGGUGUGCAGUAUGUAAUGGAGUAGGGCCACCAGCUACUGGGUGUGCAGUAUGUAAUGGAGUGGGGCCGCCAGCUACUGGGUGUGCAGUAUGUAAUGGAGUGGGGCCGCCAGCUACUGGGUGUGCAGUAUGUAAUGGAGUGGGGCCGCCAGCUACUGGGUGUGCAGUAUGUAAUGGAGUGGGGCCGCCAGCUACUGGGUGUGCAGUAUGUAAUGGAGUGGGGCCGCCAGCUACUGGGUGUGCAGUAUGUAAUGGAGUAGGGCCGCCAGCUACUGGGUGUGCAGUAUGUAAUGGAGUGGGGCCGCCAGCUACUGGGUGUGCAGUAUGUAAUGGAGUGGGGACGCCAUCUACUGGGUGUGCAGUAUGUAAUGGAGUGGGGCCGCCAGCUACUGGGUGUGCAGUAUGUAAUGGAGUGGGGCCGCCAGCUACUGGGUGUGCAGUAUGUAAUGGAGUAGGGCCGCCAGCUACUGGGUGUGCAGUAUGUAAUGGAGUGGGGCCGCCAGCUACUGGGUGUGCAGUAUGUAAUGGAGUGGGGCCGCCAGCUACUGGGUGUGCAGUAUGUAAUGGAGUGGGGCCGCCAGCUACUGGGUGUGCAGUAUGUAAUGGAGUGGGGCCGCCAGCUACUGGGUGUGCAGUAUGUAAUGGAGUGGGGCCGCCAUCUACUGGGUGUGCAGUAGGUAAUGGAGUAGGGCCGCCAGCUACUGGGUGUGCAGUAUGUAAUGGAGUGGGGCCGCCAGCUACUGGGUGUGCAGUAUGUAAUGGAGUGGGGCCGCCAGCUACUGGGUGUGCAGUAUGUAAUGGAGUGGGGCCGCCAGCUACUGGGUGUGCAGUAUGUAAUGGAGUGGGGCCGCCAGCUACUGGGUGUGCAGUAUGUACUGGAGUGGGGCCGCCAGCUACUGGGUGUGCAGUAUGUAAUGGAGUGGGGCCGCCAGCUACUGGGUGUGCAGUAUGUAAUGGAGUAGGGCCGCCAGCUACUGGGUGUGCAGUAUGUAAAGGAGUGGGGCCACAAUCUACUGGGUGUGCAGUAUGUAUUGGAGUGAGGCCACCAUCUACUGGGUGUGCAGUAUGUAAUGGAGUUGGGCCUCCAGCUACUGGGUGUGCAGUAUGUAAUGGAGUUGGGCCUCCAGCAACUGGGUGUGCAGUAUGUAAUGGAGUAGGGCCGCCAGCUACUGGGUGUGCAGUAUGUAAUGGAGUGGGGCCGCCAGCUACUGGGUGUGCAGUAUGUAAUGGAGUGGGGCCACCAUCUACUGGGUGUGCAGUAGGUAAUGGAGUAGGGCCGCCAGCUACUGGGUGUGCAGUAUGUAAUGGAGUGGGGCCGCCAGCUACUGGGUGUGCAGUAUGUAAUGGAGUGGGGCCGCCAGCUACUGGGUGUGCAGUAUGUAAUGGAGUGGGGCCGCCAGCUACUGGGUGUGCAGUAUGUAAUGGAGUGGGGCCGCCAGCUACUGGGUGUGCAGUAUGUAAUGGAGUGGGGCCGCCAGCUACUGGGUGUGCAGUAUGUAAUGGAGUGGGGCCGCCAGCUACUGGGUGUGCAGUAUGUAAUGGAGUAGGGCCGCCAGCUACUGGGUGUGCAGUAUGUAAUGGAGUAGGGCCGCCAGCUACUGGGUGUGCAGUAUGUAAUGGAGUGGGGCCGCCAGCUACUGGGUGUGCAGUAUGUAAUGGAGUGGGGCCGCCAGCUACUGGGUGUGCAGUAUGUAAUGGAGUAGGGCCGCCAUCUACUGGGUGUGCAGUAUGUAAUGGAGUGGGGCCGCCAGCUACUGGGUGUGCAGUAUGUAAUGGAGUGGGGCCGCCAGCUACUGGGUGUGCAGUAUGUAAUGGAGUAGGGCCGCCAGCUACAGGGUGUGCAGUAUGUAAUGGAGUGGGGCCGCCAGCUACUGGGUGUGCAGUAUGUAAUGGAGUAGGGCCGCCAUGUUUUUAA